rnacentral:rRNA from 1 species
UACAGAGGGGGCAAGCGUUGUUCGGAAUUACUGGGCGUAAAGGGCGCGUAGGCGGCCUUCUAAGUCGAACGUGAAAUCCCUGGGCUCAACCCAGGAACUGCGUCCGAUACUGGAAGGCUUGAAUCCGGGAGAGGGAUGCGGAAUUCUAGGUGUAGCGGUGAAAUGCGUAGAUAUCUGGAGGAACACCGGUGGCGAAGGCGGCAUCCUGGACCGGUAUUGACGCUGAGGCGCGAAAGCCAGGGGAGCAAACGGG